rnacentral:rRNA from 1 species
UGGGGAAUCUUGCACAAUGGGGGAAACCCUGAUGCAGCGACGCCGCGUGAGCGAUGAAGCCCUUCGGGGUGUAAAGCUCUUUCGGCAGGGAAGAUGAUGACGGUACCUGCAGAAGCAGCUGCGGCUAACUACGUGCCAGCAGCCGCGGUAAUACGUAGGCAGCAAGCGUUGUUCGGAGUUACUGGGCGUAAAGGGUGUGUAGGCGGUUGCUUAAGUUUGGUGUGAAAUCUCCCGGCUCGACUGGGAGGGUGCGCCGAAUACUGAGUGACUAGAGUGCGGGAGAGGAAAGUGGAAUUCCUGGUGUAGCGGUGAAAUGCGUAGAUAUCAGGAGGAACACCGGUGGUGUAGACGGCUUUCUGGACCGUAACUGACGCUGAAACACGAAAGCGUGGGUAGCAAACAGGAUUAGAUACCCUGGUAGUCCACGCCCUAAACGGUGCAUAUUUGGUGUGGGUCAUUCAGUUGAUCCGUGCCGGAGCUAACGCGUUAAAUA